AACAUAAAUCUGAAGCAUAUUACAACUUCAAGGCCUUAUUUUUAAUAUCCGUAUUACAGACAUGAAAAAGAACACAAUUAGGCUCCAGGAAAGCGACGUGGAAUGGAUAGCUAGACAACCAACUUACAGUAUAUACAUUCUAAACAAUUUUGCCACAGUUAAAAGAUUUGCCACAAGUAUCUACUAAACCAGUGUUUCUCAACCAUCUGGGGAAUUUGGGGAGCUGAAAUCCACAUAUUAUUUCAAAAACACUGUAUUAGAUUAUAGUACUGUAAGUUUUCAUUAUUAUACAUUUUCCAUUAACACUUCCCAAUACUGAGGUGUUUUGAAAUACAUAUUAAAAACUGUAUUUCCCAAA